UACGGGGGGGGCAAGCGUUGUUCGGAAUUACUGGGCGUAAAGCGCACGUAGGCGGAUUGCUAAGUCAGGGGUGAAAUCCUGGAGCUCAACUCCAGAACUGCCUUUGAUACUGGCGACCUUGAGUCCGGGAGAGGUGAGUGGAACUGCGAGUGUAGAGGUGAAAUUCGUAGAUAUUCGCAAGAACACCAGUGGCGAAGGCGGCUCACUGGCCCGGUACUGACGCUGAGGUGCGAAAGCGUGGGGAGCAAACAGG
rnacentral:rRNA from 1 species